GAAGGUUCCAAAAGCACAGUAGUCACUGGUGUUGACAUUCUCAUGAACCAUUACUUAUAAGAAACCAGCUUCACAAAAAAACCCUACAAAAAGUACAUCAGAGACUACAUGAAAUCACUCAAAGGCAAACUUGAAGAACAGAAACCAGAAAAAGUAAAGCCUUUUAUGACUGGAGCUGCAGAGCAAAUUAAGCACAUCCUUGCUAAUUUCAAGAACUACCAGUUUUUUAUUGGUGAAAACAGGAAUUCAGAUGGUAUGGUUGCUCUCUUGGACUACCAUGAAGAUGCUGUAACUCUAUUCAUGAUUCUCUUUAAGGAUAGUUUAGAGAUGGAAAAAUGUUAA
rnacentral:lncRNA from 1 species